rnacentral:misc_RNA from 1 species
AAUUUCUUUCCGUUUUGACUACCUAGUUCUGCUGUUGCUGUUGACUUGAUAGCAGGUCCCUCCACCAAAUAGAGUCUUGGCUUCCUCUAAUGCCUUCCUCCAAUGCCCUCUAGCCUCCAUACUUUGAGACUAUGAACUCUUCAGAUUAUCAACCCCUUCCAUUUGCUGCAAGAGUUCCAAUAUGCUUCCAGCUUUUAUCUUAGCUCUAUCAGUUCCAUUUUCUGACAACUCAUGCAGUGCUGCUUCUGCACCAUGUUCUUUCGCUAGUUUUAAUUG